ACGAACGGCCCUGAGUUUGGAUGGGGUCAGCACCAGCACCAGCACCACUCAUGGCUGCCUCCUGCCUCUCCAACAUGUGCAUCACCAGUUCUUGCUGAUGUUCCCUCAGAAGCAACAUUUGGAAUUAUUCUUUCUCCAUUGCUGCAACCUCAAAUUGUCUGGGGCUUGCUUUUUAUUGUUCGGGCUGCCCUCUGGCUCCUCUGUCAUCCAGAUCAACUGGGAGUUACCCCUGUGGAUUCUGAAGCCCACAAAACCAGGAUUGCCUAUACCAGUGAGCAGAUAACUGCUCUGUUGGAGUCGGAGCUCACCUCUGAUCCUCAAUUUCUAGUAACAGGCCUUACUCAAACUAGGCAAGUGCUCUAUUGCAAUAUUCUCAUGUCAUUUUGGCUGCUCAAGAUUCAGUCAUGGAGGGGGCAGCGUCCUGCUCAUGGUGCAGAGAACCACUGGGACUCUUGAGCCAUCAGAACACACAGUCAUACGGAGGUUGAAAUCAAGUCUCUUCCUUCCUAGUUUGAUAAUUAGUAGUCUUGUUUCUUUGUGUCCUGAACAUAUUUUUUUACUUGUUUAACAAAUACUGAGUACCUACUGUGUAGCAGGCAGUGCUGAGAAACAGCAGUGAAGGAGAGAGGCCAAGUCCCUUCCUUUGUGGAGUUGAUAUUCUGAUGUAUUGGGUCAAACAGAAACACAAAGGAGAUACAGAAAGGGGGGGUCUGACAUGUCAGCAAGGUGCUGGAGUGAGCACAGUUGGUAGAGUACAAGCAGCAGGCACAGCAUGUGUAUAGCACAGCAUGCUGGGACAGCCCAGGGAGUACCAUAGCUGGGGUAGGAUGGACUGGGGCCAGAAGACCAGAUUGCAUUCAGAGAAGUGUAUGGGAGACUCAGAGAUAACAUUGACGUGAUUAGAGUAAAACCCACCCACCAGGAAACUGGAAAAGGCAGAGACCACUGGACCCUAGGAGUAACUCCCUUUCAAAUGCCUUACUCAGAGAUGAGGUGUGACAGGGCGUGACUGGUGAACCAUCAGCUUCUCUUGUCGUUGAAGCCAUCCAGUGUGUCCUGUCUCUCUAAGCCACAGAGAGGACCAGGAAAGGGCUCCUAAGCCAGCACAUGAAGAGACAUCAAGUAGGAGUCAGGCUCUCUCAGCCCAAGGUUCCAGGCACCAGGCCAAAUAUGGGGUCCAGUGUCUAAGAGAGAGCCACUGCUGCCACCAUGCCCUGUGGAUACCCGAGCACAUGCUC
rnacentral:lncRNA from 1 species